rnacentral:rRNA from 1 species
UACGUAGGCAGCGAGCGUUGUUCGGAGUUACUGGGCGUAAAGGGUGUGUAGGCGGUCGUUUAAGUUUGGUGUGAAAUCUCCCGGCUCAACUGGGAGGGUGCGCCGAAUACUGAAUGACUUCGAGUGCGGGAGAGGAGAGUGGAAUUCCUGGUGUAGCGGUGAAAUGCGUAGAUAUCAGGAGGAACACCGGUGGUGUAGACGGCUCUCUGGACCGUAACUGACGCUGAGACGCGAAAGCGUGGGGAGCGAACAGG